rnacentral:lncRNA from 1 species
GCUUCUUCCUCCAGACUUCAGUUUCCUAAAAUUAAGGAGUUAGAAUAGAUGAACUCUAAAAUCCUUGGAGGCUCUAAUAUUCUAAGAUUUCAUGACCUGGAUAGCAAAAAGCUAAGGAGAAUAAUACAAGGUAGACCCCAAAAUAUGUAAUCUGUGUUCUUAUAUAGAAUAAUGGAUGGCCAUCUAGUCCAACCCCAUCAUCAUAAUGUUGAAGGAACUGUGGCCCAAGGAGAUGAAAUGAAUUUCCCAACAUCACACAGACGGCGAGGAUCAGAGGAGUGUAACAGUAAAGAGAUGGGCCCAGCAGUAAAUUCAGUGUUUUACAAGAAGAAAAGAGAAAAUCAUAUGAGAAGGAAUAAGAAUGCAAUCAGAGCAGCCAAGCUCAUAGGACUUUAAUGGUACAAUGCUGGAUUUUUUUUUUUUAAGGAGGAAACUCUAACAUUAGGUCUCUGUAGGAUAGUGUGAAGAAGAGUUUAGACAAUUAAGUGAUUAAUGCAAACAAUAUUAGUAGUAAGCAUUUUGACUUGCAAUAUUUAGAUGGAAUGUUUCUUAAAUUACAGGUGUCCUCCCUUCCAUAUGUGGGGGUUAGGGGGAUACCCCCACAAUCUGGAAAAUCUGUGUAAAGUUUUUUGGUCUUCCUUUCAUACCAGAGAAGAAGUCUGAAUUUUUUCUUUUUCUUUUAUGGGGCACUUACAGUAAAAGAAAUUGUGUAUAUUUAUGGUAUUGAAGGAUAAAAUAUGUUGAUAUUAUACAAUACUAUACAUAUAUUUUAUGCAUUUCUGAGGUUCUAAACCUUUUCUGUGUCAUCUGCUGUUUUUUCCCCUAUUGUCUGAGGCUCCCAGAACUCUACCCCCUCCCA